GCUCUACUGAGGUAGAUGCACCAUUUCACAACUUCAGCAAAAGCCAAGGCAGCCAACAAAGGCUCAGCCACCUCGGCUGAGCCUCUGCCUCUUGCCGCUCGGGCAGCUCACCAGCCACUCCUCUGAAACAGAUCAUGCCAUCCUUUCUUUUUAAAACCCACGUCAUCACUGGAUCAUAAUGGAAAUCAAUCUCCUCAAACACCAUGCAAAGGCGUAUCCAUAGCAACCCCAAAAGGAAGGACACAGAGAUGCUCCAGUGGCUGCAGCAAAAAAAGGAUGUUCCGCCGCGAGCGCUCCAUCCCACUUCGUGGCUCUGCCGCCGCCCUGUCUAACAACCUCAGUGUACUGCAGCUUCCAGCCCGUGAUCUCACGCAUUUUGGGGUGGUUCAUGGACCGAGCGCCCAGCUUCUCAGCGCUGCCCCUGAGGGUGUGCCCUUGGCCCAGCGCCAGCUCCACGUUAAAGAGGGCGCUGGAGUGAGUCCCCCACUUAUCAC
rnacentral:lncRNA from 1 species